rnacentral:rRNA from 1 species
AAAACGACUCUCGGCAACGGAUAUCUCGGCUCUCGCAUCGAUGAAGAACGUAGCGAAAUGCGAUACUUGGUGUGAAUUGCAGAAUCCCGUGAACCAUCGAGUCUUUGAACGCAAGUUGCGCCCCAAGUCGUUAGGCCGAGGGCACGCCUGCCUGGAUGUCACGC